rnacentral:rRNA from 1 species
UACGUAGGGUGCGAGCGUUAAUCGGAAUUACUGGGCGUAAAGCGUGCGCAGGCGGUUUCGUAAGUCUGUCGUGAAAGCCCCGGGCUCAACCUGGGAAUGGCGAUGGAGACUGCGAGGCUGGAGUGUGUCAGAGGGGGGUAGAAUUCCACGUGUAGCAGUGAAAUGCGUAGAGAUGUGGAGGAACACCGAUGGCGAAGGCAGCCCCCUGGGAUAACACUGACGCUCAUGCACGAAAGCGUGGGGAGCAAACAGG